UGAGUAACCUGCCCUUAACUCUGGGAUAAGCCUGGGGAAACUGGGUCUAAUACCGGAUAUGACUCCUCAUCGCAUGGGUGGGGGGUGGAAAGCUUUUUUGUGGUUUUGGAUGGACUCGCGGCCUAUCAGCUUGUUGGUGAGGUAACGGCUCACCAAGGCAACGAUGCGUAGCCGACUGAGAGGGUGAUCGGCCACAUUGGAACUGAGACACGGUCCAGACUCCGUACGGGAGGCAG
rnacentral:rRNA from 1 species